CCCUUAGAUGUUCUGGGCCGCACACGCGCUACACUGGCAGGUUCAUCGAGCUUCAUGCCCUGAUCUGAGAAGAACGGGAAAUCUUUGAACACCUGCCGUGCUUGGGAUAGAUGUUUGCAAUUAUUCAUCUUCAACGAGGAUUGCCUUGUAAGCGCGCGUCAUCAGCGUGCAUUGAAUACGACCCUGUAUUCUGUACACACCGCCCGUCGCUCCUACCGAUUGAAGUUUUCGGUGAAUUUACUGGAGAUCCCUUUUGAAGGUGGUUCGCCACUGGAAGAAGUAUUCAAAAGUAAAUGAAUCGAAUGCUUUAGAGGAAGGAGAAGUCGUAACA
rnacentral:rRNA from 1 species